rnacentral:tRNA from 1 species
GAGUGUAUAGCUUAAGUGGGAGAGCACAUGCUUAGCAUGCAUGAGGUGCUGGUUCAAACCUAAUUACCUCC